rnacentral:lncRNA from 1 species
AGACCGAAUAUGGCCUGACAUUUGCAAAGAAAUGGAACACUGACAACACACUAGGCACCGAGAUUACUAUGGAAGACCAGUUAGCAUGUGGACUGAAGCUGACCCUCCAUUCAUCCUUCUCGCCUAACACUGGGGGAAAAGUGCUAAAAUCAAGACAGGAUACAAGUGGGAGCACAUUAACCUGGGCUGCGACGUGGAUUUGGACAUUGCUGAGCCUUCAGUCCGAGGCACUCUUAAGUGCUGGGUUAUGAGGAUUGGCUGGCCAGCUACCAGGUCAAUUUUGAGACCACAAAGUCCUGAGUGACCCAGAGCAACUUUGCGGUUGGCCACAAGACUGAUGAAUUCCAGCUUCACACUAAUGUGAAUGACGGGACAGAGUUUGGCAGCUCCAAUUAGCAGAAGAGACAGGCUGAAGUGGUGCAGUCAUAGCUUACUGUAGUCUUGACCUACUGGGCUCAAGCAAUCCUCCUGCCUCAGCCUCCUGAGUAACUAGGACUACAGGUUCUGGCUCUGUCACCCAGGCUGGAGUUCAGUGGUGCGAACUUCGCUCACUGCAUCCUCGACCUCCUGGGCUCAAGUGAUGCUCCCACCUCAGCCUACCAAGUAGCUAGGACUACAGCUUGGGAAAGUUCCUAGACAUCAGGAAAUCAGCAUGUUCUCAAGCAAAUACACUUGAUAGACAUUCAUCUCAGCAGGAUAAAUAUCUACAGGAGAAAAUCAUGAAGCUACCAGAAUGUGGCCAAAGGGAAAAA